UACGGAGGGUGCAAGCGUUGUCCGGAUUUAUUGGGUUUAAAGGGUGCGUAGGCGGGUUAUUAAGUCAGUGGUGAAAGUCUGCGGCUCAACCGCAGGAGUGCCAUUGAUACUGGUAGUCUUGAGUACAGUAGAGGUAGGCGGAAUUUAUGGUGUAGCGGUGAAAUGCAUAGAUACCAUAAAGAACACCGAUAGCGCAGGCAGCUUACUAUGCUGUAACUGACGCUGAGGCACGAAAGCGUGGGGAUCGAACAGG
rnacentral:rRNA from 1 species